CUAAAUUAAAUACCAAAAACUAUCUUCUUCUUCCUAUUUUUCUAAGAAAAACCGUCCACCAUGGGAGAGGAAAAAGCGUGAGGUUCUCAAAUAAGUCUCACCCCGAUUUUUUGUCAAACCGUCGAUUUAAUCGUGUAAACGUUAUGAAAUCAACUACACCCAAAUGUAUCAAAUGAAAGGAAAAAGGAUCGGCGAAAGAAGAAAUGUCGAAUGGAAAGGUUAAUUGGAUCGGGGAUUCCUUUGAAUAUUUCUUUCGUUUCUUCGCCAGCACUGCAUCUUCGGUGGGUCACUGGUCACUGCUUGCGGCGUUUGUGUCCAUUUCUGUUAGAUGUGGCAUGUAUAGUAUUUGAAUAUCUGUAAUAGCUUCCGUUGUGUUUGUAAAUAGUGUUGGAACUUUUGCUAAUAGUUUAAUGAAUUAAGUUUGGUUUUUAAUUGACCAUAAUUUAUGGCACCGUAAUUGCGACAUUUCCUAUUCGACCGUUCGCCGAUCGUAUAGGGGGUGUUACAAGUUGGUAUCAGAGCCUAGGUUUAGGUGUUCCUAGGCUCUUGGUGGGUUUGAAGUGUGUUUAGUAACAUGCCACAUAGGGUGUUGAGUCGUAUUCGAUAUCAGUGACCUGAUGCAGUGGCUACAGUAUGCCAGUGUAGAAGUUUGUCAAACAAGUAUUUGAUUAAGUAUAAAGUAAAGUUUACCAAAGUACGAGACAAGAAUUCCCGUGUGACCGAGAAAAGUGGUUAUAUGGGACUGGCCACCCCAUAUAGCUCGAAUCUCGGUAGCGUCAUUUUGGGUG